CCGCCGCCUUCCUGCCGCGCCGCCCUUACGCUGUUCCAUGCGCCCCCACCGCCGCGCCAUCUCCCACCGCCGCCGCUCCGCCCAAGGUACCCCUGCUGUUAUUACUGGCUCAAUUUCUUCUGCCCUGUACCGAGUAAAUCAUGGAUGUGGCCCCCUCCCCUCGCGAAGGAGGCGGCAGCCCUGCCCACGCGAAGGAAGUGGAAGCUGCGUUGGCGAGCCGCGCCGCCACCAAACUCCCACUGUCAAGUUUGAGGAGGUUCUAGAUUUCGGGAGGAGCGUUCGGAGUUAACUGCAAUAUCUCCAUCUAAUUUCAGUCCGAGUAAAUUUAGUGCGAGUCUUUUCGUCAGGUGGGAUGUGCAUCUGCUCAUUAUCUAUAUGCAAGAUGCAGUCUGCUACAUCACUUCUAUUUUGUUGGAGAGGUUCAUCUCAACUUUGUUUGGCCUCCUGGCUGGCUGGCUCUAUCUGAAUGUUCAGCUGCUCCUGAACGCAAAUAAUUUCCAAUUUACUUCAAAUUGAUAAUGCAUUUAUUAUAUGCCGGUUACAUUGAUUUUACAAAUUUCUGUAUAAUGCAGCUUAUAGCUGAGCUGUUAUCGGCAUCUGUUUUUUAGCACAUAAACAACUACACCAAACCUUUCUGAUAAGAAUGCUGUACCAAAUUUUUCUGAUACAGGAACAUGUUUCUGUCAGAACGAUGCUUUCAGAACAGCAGCUGUAGUCUUUUACUAAUUCAGUGCUACGCACUUUACUCCCCUGUUAGACUGUGAUCUUUUAAGCCAUGCAUGUCUUCUGCUAAGAAAACUAAAGUGAUAGCUGAUUUCAUGAGUAGUAGUAUGCCUAAAUUGCAUUUUGUUUGGCCUCAAGUCUGGUUCCGUGAGAAUGUUCAGCUGCUCCUGAAUUUAAAUAUUUGCCCAUUAUCUUCAACUUUAAAACUAAUCAUAAGCCAGCUGAAAUAUGACUGAAUUGUAAAAGAAUCUAUGAACCAGUCAAGAUUAGGCAAUUGUAGGGCAUGGUGACCAACGUGUUGCCUCCAGCCUAUGCUUGUCUAUCUUUUCGCGAUUUAGUUUGCUCAUAUAGCUUUAUCAAUAGUCAUACUACUUUCCUAGCUCAUGUAUGUGGGUUACAUUGAUUAUACAAUUUUCUGUCAGCAGUCUUCAUUCUAGAACAGCAUUACAGCUGAGCACGUUACUUGCAUCUGCUUUUUUAGCACAACAUUUCUUUUAUCACAACAUGUAUUUACAUAUGCAACUAAUUAUACCAAGUCUCUCAGAGAAAAUAUUUCUGAUAAGGAAGCUGUUAAGAUUACCAAUCUUUUCUGGUACAGGAACAUGUAUCUAGCUGAAUGCUGCCUACAGGAACAGCUGUUAUAAUUUUUUUAUUAAUUCAGUGCUAUGCCAAAUCUUUUUCUUCCUUUUCUUUAUGAGUUGACUAAAUAUUCAGUUCUCAGGUUGUUACAAUAUAAUAUGAGGCGUUGAGUAUUGCACUACAAGGAGUUCGGACUCCUUAUAUUCUCAUAUAUUGAAAGCUGAUGGCAGCAUGAACUUGAUGGAUAUAAACCAGAGGACCAGGUCUAAUACUGUUUUAGAGGUUUGUCACUUGCUAGCUCAUUUUGUAAUACAUUAUUGAGAUCUGAUAGUUUCAAUGAUCAAUUUGAUCAGUAAACCUUUACCCAGUUGAGAAAGCUUUCAGGUGACAAUUUUAGUGUCUCGAGACAAGCUGACAAUUUGGGUAUUUCGCCAAUGCAUGCGCCCAACUUAUUCUCACCAAACAUUACCUGUCUAAACUGUUUUUGCUUGAAAAUUAACCUUAUUCUCAAAUGGUGUAGGAAUAGUCUCUUAGCAACAUUCAUAUGAAACUUAGAAUCUCUCAUACAAUUAUUUGUUCUGAUCAUAAUUAAUUUCGUAUAAUUUUAUUUUUUUCUUCUGAUUUUAGUUUGUGAAUCCAUAUACAAAAUAGGCCUUGAAGGGACUAAUUAUUCGAAGGAAGAGACCAACCUAAAGGGUUUCAAGGAAUGCUUGUUUUUAUACCGCAGUUUCUCUAUGUUGGAACUGGAUAUCACUGUAUUGUAUUUCAGAGCACGAUUGAUUUUGUUGAAGUGUAGGGAAUCCUAUUCUUCUUACAUGAUUUCAGAAAGCAUAUCUGGAGGAUGAUAUUAAGAAAGGCCAGCGAAUUAGGUCAAUGAGCCUUGCAAUAUGGCCUUGGAACCUGAAAAGGCAUUUGCCAUAUAUUUGUAUGAAUUUGCAAAGACUGAGGAUUUUGGAAAGAAGAAGAAAGAACUUGGCUCCAAGAGGGGGAGAUUUGAGGAAACAUACAAGAAACAGAAUAGCUUUCUUAUUUGUAAUUGAUGAAACAUAUCAAAUUUACAAAUUAUGAAGCGAAAAAUCUGAAUAUUUUGAGUUUUUUAUUUCUACGCUAAUGUCUCUCCAUUGCGGCCAUUGAGCCAGCUAUAACAUUUUCCAACGUUGUUUUGUACUUCAUAAAGGCUCUUUUCAUAUCUUCUAUUCUAGACUUCUUUUGUUACACGUUGUUAGUUCUGCAGAAUGACCGAAUGAUAUUGUUGCUUUGGUA